rnacentral:misc_RNA from 1 species
UACGUAGGUGGCGAACGUUAUCCGGAGUUACUGGGCGUAAAGGGUCCGCAGGCGGUCUUGCAGGUCUGACGUGAAAGCUCCUGGCUUAACCAGGAGAGGCCGUUGGAAACCGCAAAACUUGAAUCAUCCAGAGGUCGGUGGAAUUCCCGGUGUAGUGGUGGAAUGCGUAGAGAUCGGGAGGAACCUCGAAAGCGAAGGCAGCCGGCUGGGGAAUGAUUGACGCUGAGGGACGAAAGCGUGGGGAGCGAACAGG